UACGUAGGGAGCAAGCGUUGUCCGGAUUUAUUGGGCGUAAAGAGCGUGUAGGCGGCCAGACAGGUCCGUUGUGAAAACUCGAGGCUCAACCCCGGGCCUGCAUUCGAUACGGGCAGACUAGAGUUCGGUAGGGGAGUCUGGAAUUCCUGGUGUAGCGGUGAAAUGCGCAGAUAUCAGGAGGAACACCGGUGGCGAAGGCGGGACUCUGGGCCGAUACUGACGCUGAGGAGCGAAAGCGUGGGGAGCAAACAGG
rnacentral:rRNA from 1 species